rnacentral:tRNA from 1 species
GUUUUAAUAGUUUAAAUAAAACACCAGUCUUGUAAAUUGGUAUUGAAGAAAUAGUCUUCUUAAAACA